AGAACGAACGCUGGCGGCAUGCCUAAUACAUGCAAGUCGAACGAACUCUUCGGAGUUAGUGGCGCACGGGUGCGUAACGCGUGGGAAUCUGCCCUUGGGUUCGGAAUAACAGUUGGAAACGACUGCUAAUACCGGAUGAUGACGAAAGUCCAAAGAUUUAUCGCCCAGGGAUGAGCCCGCGUAGGAUUAGCUAGUUGGUGAGGUAAAGGCUCACCAAGGCGACGAUCCUUAGCUGGUCUGAGAGGAUGAUCAGCCACACUGGGACUGAGACACGGCCCAGACUCCUACGGGAGGCAGCAGUAGGGAAUAUUGGACAAUGGGCGAAAGCCUGAUCCAGCAAUGCCGCGUGAGUGAUGAAGCCUUAGGUUGUAAGGCUCUUUACCCGAGAUGAUAAUGACAGUAUCGGAGAAUAAGCCCCGACUAACGUCCGUGCCAGCAGCCGC
rnacentral:rRNA from 1 species